rnacentral:rRNA from 1 species
UCUGCCAAAACACUAAUUUUCUAGUGUUACCUC